GGGGAUGUACUGGUUUUCGACGGAGGAAGGAUUGGUCGGGCAAGCGAGCCGGCGUUCCAUGAGGCCGCUAAACCGUGGAACCUAAAUUGAAAUGACAAAAACGAAUUAGCUUUAGCUGCUUAAUCGCAGUCUAACCUCCUCCGCUCUGUUCCCGCGAUGAGCGGCCGGGGGUCAUCAGGCCGGGAUACCGUGUCACUUUUUUCCGAGGGUGGCCCGGGAAAUUCUUCGGAAUGGUUUUGACGGACCUUGUUUGUGUGGUCCGCCAAGGCGAGAUCGAACACAAACUGCGCUCGGAGAAAACCCGGUGGGUUCUCUUUCGGACAGGGGUUCGACUCCCCUCAUCUCCACCA
rnacentral:tmRNA from 1 species